rnacentral:lncRNA from 1 species
UGACUUUUACAUGCAGAUCAUAAGAUACUAAAUCGUGUACGUUCAACUAUAUUUAUAUAUAUAUUUAUACAUGUACAUAUAUAUUACAAAAUAAAAACUGGUGUAAUUAUUAAUACAGUUUUUUAUAUUUGCAUUUUAUUUACUUUUAUUUUUUUUAUAUAUUUUUAGUGCCUUUUUUAUCACUAUCACUUUUAAGUAAUUUUACUUAUUUUAAAAUCCAACAUUUUACUGAAAAAAUGAGUAAGGGUGUAAUUAAAGUAUAGUAACAAAAGGCUUUUUUUUUCUUUUUCAUACAAUACUGUUAUGUAUUACUUUUAUGUGCAUAUAUGUAUAAUUAUACACAUUUGCAUAAAUCACCCGGUGUAGCUAUUCACCCACCUGAGGGUAUAGUUAUUCACAUUAGGGUACAGUUAAUUACAUGAGAGUACAUUUAUUUACAUGAGGGUACAAUCAUUUAUAUAAGACUUAAAAAGAAUUAUUAAUUUUAUAUUUUUCUGUUUUUACCUUGUUUUUUCCCCUACGCACCGUCUCGAAGGAAAAAAAAAAAAAAUAAAUAAAUAAAUAAAUAAUAAUAAAAAAUAUAUAUAUAUAUAUAUAUAUAUAUAUAUAUAUAUAUAUAUAUGCACAUACAUAUGCAUAUGUACAUGAGAAAGGGUUCGCACAUAAUAUAUUGUUUAUAACUAUUGACAUAAAAGUAAGCUGAAAAGCGGGAACCAAAUAUGUAUAUGUAUACAUAUAUAAAUAUGUGAAUUAUUAAUAUUGGAUAAAAUAUAUACUAUAUAAUAUAAGCACAUAAAAAAAAAAAAAAAAAAAAAAAAAAAAAAAAAGAAAAAAAAAAUAACACGAGUGAUGAUAAGAAAGGUAGUGAAAAAGAAAAUGAAGAAUCAAAAAAAACUGAAGAUUCUGAACACAAAAAUAAUCAAGAAGAAAUAAAUGCUACAAAUGAGGAGAAUUUAAAUGAAAAUAAAAAUGAUGGUAAUAAAACAACAGAGGGUAAUGAAACAACACAGGGUAAUGCGAAUGAACAAGAUGACACAACAGUAAAUGAAAACAACGAAAAUGAGAAACAGGAUGAUAAUAACAAAGAAACUGAAAAUUUAGAGCAGAAGAUGAGUUGUAGAACUUGAAGUAAAAAUCAAAAUAUAGUCUGUUAUGUUUUAAUUAAGUUACAUGUAUUGUGUUAUUCAUUUUUUUUAAAUAUCUGCAUAUAUAUUCAUUCAAUUCUGUGCUUAUAUAUUUUCACAUUUAUACAUUUGAUUGAUUAUAUAUCUUCAUAUAUAUAUAUAUUUUUUUUUUUUUCUUUUUUUUUUUUUUUGUAUAUGCGCUUUAUUGAAUUUUUAACGCACACACGUACGUACAUAUAUAUAUAUAUAUGUGCGCGUAUGUAUGUGCAUAUGCUAACAAAUUAGUAAAAAUAUUUUAUAAUAUAAAACUAGCUGAUUCAUUUAAUGUAUAUAAAUUUAAUAUAUACUUUCAUUAGUCACUGUUUUAUUUUUAUGUUUAACAUAUAUAAUUUUUAAAAUUAUAUAUUACAUACAUAUAUACGUAUGUAUAUAUGUGCAACAUUUUAUGUAGAGGUAUGUAUAUAUGUAUGUAGAUAUUCCCCUCGUUCAUGAACAUAUCUCUUUUUGAGAAUUUUUACAGUUUAUUCUUAAUUCGACUAAUUAUAAUAAUUUUUUAAUGAAAUAAUUAAAUUAUUAUUUUUUUUUUUUUUUUUUUGAUCUACUAUUUGGAUUACUUUUUUAAUCAACUAAUGGAAUUUGAAACCAUUUUUUUUUUUUUUUUUUAAUUAAAUUAUUUGGUUCAGUUUCUUCAAGGUUAUUAAGAUGCAUAUAUUUA